rnacentral:rRNA from 2 species
GAGCGGCGAACGGGUGAGUAACACGUGGGUGAUCUGCCUCGUACUCUGGGAUAAGCCUGGGAAACUGGGUCUAAUACCGGAUAGGACUACCGGAUGCAUGUCUGGUGGUGGAAAGAUUUAUCGGUGCGAGAUGGGCCCGCGGCCUAUCAGCUUGUUGGUGGGGUAACGGCCUACCAAGGCGACGACGGGUAGCCGACCUGAGAGGGUGACCGGCCACACUGGGACUGAGACACGGCCCAGACUCCUACGGGAGGCAGCAGUGGGGAAUAUUGCACAAUGGGCGGAAGCCUGAUGCAGCGACGCCGCGUGAGGGAUGACGGCCUUCGGGUUGUAAACCUCUUUCGACAGGGACGAAGCGCAAGUGACGGUACCUGUAUAAGAAGCACCGGCCAACUACGUGCCAGCAGCCGCGGUAAUACGUAGGGUGCGAGCGUUGUCCGGAAUUACUGGGCGUAAAGAGCUUGUAGGCGGUUCGUCGCGUCGAUUGUGAAAACUUGCAGCUCAACUGCAAGCUUGCAGUCGAUACGGGCGGACUAGAGUACUUCAGGGGAGACUGGAAUUCCU